AUGUAUUGUACUACCUCAUGCACUAAAGCAUCUUCCAUGCAAAAAAAACUUGGCUCUUUUUAUUCUUUAGUAUUUUUUCUAAUUUACUUUUCACAGGGGGCCGAUGAGCCCGGGCUCAGAAAUGGAUAUUUGGAUGUAAUGGUCUUUGUUUUAGUAUUUUUUUUCCAGCCAAAAACUGUUGCCAAAAGUGGGAGACGGCUCAUAGGAGAGGGGAAAAUUGUUUCUUGUGCCCAACGUAUAGUAGAAAUCAUCAGCUGUUGUUUGUUCAAAAAGCAUGAACUUUACUUCUGCAAGAACAAUUCAAUAUCAGACUGCAUUUUCAUUGUUUCAAACAGUUUAGCUACACUUAUACAGAGUUCAAUUCAAAGUGAACGUUGA
rnacentral:rRNA from 1 species